CCUAUGACUCAAAGGAACCAGGAAGCCUGAUAAAACUGGGCAUCUGAUUCUGAGGUCACCGAAGGCUCGUCUCCAGUGAGAAUAAAAAAACCCUGUAUUGUCACUCAUUGCACGACACUUAACCAAGUGAUUGAAGCCAGCGGUCUGCACAGAUUUCACUCUUGUGCAUGACGAAAGCUCGUUUUCCUUGGAGCAGACUG
rnacentral:lncRNA from 1 species